rnacentral:misc_RNA from 1 species
UUCUGCACGCUGCUCAAGGAAGGUCAUCGUGUGCGUCUCUCGGGGCAGGAUUCCGAGCGCGGCACGUUCUCGCAGCGGCACUCGGUGCUGUUCGAUCAGGAAGAUGAAAGCCGUUACACGCCGUUCAAUCAUCUCGGCGACAAUCAGGGCCACUACGAGGUCAUCAACUCGCUGUUGUCCGAAGAAGCGGUGCUCGGCUUUGAAUACGGCUACUCGCUCGCCGAGCCGAAUGCGCUCACGA